rnacentral:rRNA from 1 species
GAGGAAUAUUGGUCAAUGGACGAGAGUCUGAACCAGCCAAGUAGCGUGAAGGGUGACUGCCCUAUGGGUUGUAAACUUCUUUUAUACGGGAAUAAAGUGAGGCACGUGUGCCUUUUUGUAUGUACCGUAUGAAUAAGGAUCGGCUAACUCC